GAACGCUGGUUCUGUGCUUAAACAAAGAAGUCGAGCGGAAAGGCCCUUCUGGGUACUCGAGCGUUUAACGGGUGAGUAACAAGUGAGCAACCUGCCCCUAGCUCUGGGAUAGCUCCGGGAAACCGGGAUUAAUACCAGAUACGACCACUUUAGACAUCUGCUGUGGUGGAAAGGAUUCCUGCUAAGGAUGGGCUCGCGGCCUAUCAGCUUGUUGGUGGGGUAGUGGCCUACCAAGGCGACGACGGGUAGCCGGCCUGAGAGGGCGACCGGCCACACUGGGACUGAGACACGGCCCAGACUCCUACGGGAGGCAGCAGUGGG
rnacentral:rRNA from 1 species